GACAGAGGGUGCAAACGUUGUUCGGAAUUACUGGGCGUAAAGCGUGUGUAGGUGGCUGCGUAAGUCGGAUGUGAAAGCCCUGGGCUCAACUCAGGAAGUGCACUCGAUACUGCGUAGCUCGAGUACCGGAGAGGUUGGUAGAAUUCUCGGUGUAGAGGUGAAAUUCGUAGAUAUCGAGAGGAAUACCUGUGGCGAAGGCGGCCAACUGGACGAGUACUGACACUGAGACACGAAAGCGUGGGGAGCAAACAGG
rnacentral:rRNA from 1 species